UAGUCCCAGUUCGGACUGCAGUCUGCAACUCGACUGCACGAAGUCGGAAUUGCUAGUAAUCGCGGAUCAGCAUGCCGCGGUGAAUACGUUCCCGGGCCUUGUACACACCGCCCGUCACACCAUGAGAGUCGGGAACACCCGAAGUCGGUAGUCUAACCUCGUGAGGACGCCGCCGAUGGUGGGCUUGAUAAUUGGGGUGAAGUCGUAACAAGGUAAC
rnacentral:rRNA from 1 species